GAGUUAUUUACUUAUCUAAAUUUUUGUUAUUUGUCACAUAAUCUCUCAUAGGUGCUUGGAAUUAGUAGUCAUUUCGAUGAACACUUUGGCAACACCCGUACAACACCUUACUUACCACACAUGAGCCUUCUAUAUGGAGACUUGACGGAUGAAGAGAAGAAUGAAGCCAUAGACGAAGCUAAAACCCUAGAUGACACCAUUGAUAGCAUGAGCUUCGCGAUAGAUCGCCUAGAACUGUACAUUACUCCUGAUGAUAAGACUCUCAAGUCCUGGAUUAAGGUGGAAGAAUAUGUGCUUUGUGCACAUUAAUCUACAUUUUUUCCAAUCUUAUUUGCACUAAAUUUGUGGCAUACAUUAUACUUAAGUGUCCAUGUAUUGUUAAAGUUCAUGUUGAUGUUUCUGGAAGGAGGACUACUGAUGUAUGUUGUUAAGCGUACCUUAUGCUGUUAGAUUGAAGUUUUUCAUGUUGCUUUUAUUUGGUACUCUUGGUCAGAUUUUAGGGAAAAUAUACUUUAAUAAUCCCAACUUUGCUCAA